CCUACGGGUGGCAGCAGUGGGGAAUAUUGCACAAUGGGGGGAACCCUGAUGCAGCGACGCCGCGUGGGUGAUGAAGUACUUCGGUACGUAAAGCCCUAUCAGCAGGGACGAAUUUGACGGUACCUGUAUAAGUAGCCCCGGCUAACUACGGGCCAGCCGCCGCGGUAAUAAGGAGGGGGCAAGCGGUAGCCGGAUUUACGGGGUGUAAAGGGAGCGUAGACGGGGUGGCAAGUCUGAUGUGAAAGGCCGGGGCUCAAACCCGGGACUGCAUUUGAAACCGGGCUGCUGGAGUGCCGGAGAGGCAGGCGGAAUUCCUAGUGUAGCGGUGAAAUGCGUAGAUAUUAGGAGGAACACCGGUGGCGAAGGCGGCUUGCUGGACGUUAACUGACGUUGAGGCGCGAAAGCGUGGGGAGCAAACAGGAUUAGAUACCCGAGUAGUC
rnacentral:rRNA from 1 species